rnacentral:rRNA from 1 species
AAGCGUGCGUAGGUGGUUGUUAAGUCUGUUGUGAAAGCCCUGGGCUCAACCUGGGAAUUGCAGUGGAUACUGGGCGACUAGAGUGUGGUAGAGGGUAGUGGAAUUCCCGGUGUAGCAGUGAAAUGCGUAGAGAUCGGGAGGAACAUCCAUGGCGAAGGCAGCUACCUGGACCAACACUGACACUGAGGCACGAAAGCGUGGGGAGCAAACAGGAUUAGAUACCCUGGUAGUCCACGCCCUAAACGAUGCGAACUGGAUGUUGGGUGCAAUUUGGCACGCAGUAUCGAAGCUAACGCGUUAAGUUCGCCGCCUGGGGAGUACGGUCGCAAGACUGAAACUCAAAGGAAUUGACGGGGGCCCGCACAAGCGGUGGAGUAUGUGGUUUAAUUC